UCCGUAGGCAGCGAGCGUUGUUCGGAGUUACUGGGCGUAAAGAGUGCGUAGGCGGUUUUCUAAGUUUGGUGUGAAAUCUCCCGGCUCAACUGGGAGGGUGCGCCGAAGACUGGAAGGCUAGAGUAUGGGAGAGGUAAGCGGAAUUCCUGGUGUAGCGGUGAAAUGCGUAGAUAUCAGGAGGAACACCUGCGGUGUAGACGGCUUACUGGACCAUAACUGACGCUGAGGCACGAAAGCGUGGGUAGCAAACAGG
rnacentral:rRNA from 1 species